ensembl:snRNA U6 U6 spliceosomal RNA
GAGCUCACGUAGCAGCACACAUACUAAAAUUGGAUGGAUACAGAGAAGAUUAGCAUGGCCCUGUGCGAGGAUGACAAGCAAAUUCGUGAAGCAUUGCAUAUUUAA